UAGGGAAUCUUCCACAAUGGGCGCAAGCCUGAUGGAGCAACACCGCGUGAGUGAAGAAGGGUUUCGGCUCGUAAAGCUCUGUUAGUUAAAGAAGAACACGUAUGAGAGUAACUGUUCAUACGUUGACGGUAUUUAACCAGAAAGUCACGGCUAACUACGUGCCAG
rnacentral:rRNA from 1 species